rnacentral:lncRNA from 1 species
GCGCGGUAUAAAUGCAGGCGGACUGGCGCCACGAGCGCGCCAACUAAGCCCUGGGGCGGGGUUGCGCGCGCAGGUGAGGGGCCGGAACCGGGCCACCUGCGAGUCGGAUCUAGGGGAGGCGGGUCCGCCCACCACCCACCUGCUUCCGCCUGACGUGAACCCGGAAGUUGCUACUUCAGCUCUCCCACCCAGGAUUCUUAGCAGUAUCUGUGGAGCGCUGGGAGGAAGGAAGCAGAGAUCUCAUCAGAUGUGUGGUGCCUUGGUGCUGUCACAGUCUACCCCGCACUCCUGCUUCAAAAGGGUAAUAGCCUUCUUGGGUCUCCUUCUAACCUACAGGGUGCUCCUCACAUGACCUCAACCCGCUGGAGAUCUUCCAGUCUUUUGCCAUCUCUAAAGCCUUAGCAGAGUGAGCUGGUGCUGGGCUGCAGUGUUGAUGUGCGCACCACACUUGUCCUGGAUGAUUAAAGACCUUCCUCCUUGCUCUGCAAUAUGUUGGACCAGCUGCUAGUCUUGUAUCUCCCUGAUAUUUUUGUAUUAUUAUUAUUAUUAUUAUUAAUUAUCUCUCUAAGCAGUUCAAGGUGGCCUUGAAUUCACUAUAUAGCCCAGGCUAGUCUCCAAUAUUUGGCCAUCCUCCUGUCUCAGCCUCUCGAGUGCUGGGAUUACAGGGCGCACCACCACUCCCAGGUCCCUGACAUUUUUAUAGCUGUCUGCUGAUUUGCUCCUCUCUUGCUUAGUCUAUAAACUUCUUGGGGAGCAUAUACUUUUUUUUCUCAGUAUUAGGAAGUGAACCCAGGGCCUUCGCACUAAGCUAUAUUCCAGGCCUUUUUGCUUUUUUAUUUUGAAACAGGGGCUCACUAACUUCUAAGUCGCUCUUGCUGGGCUUGAACUUUCAGUCCUCCUGCAUCAGCCCCCCAAGAGUGCUUGGAAUACAAACGUGUGCCACCUUGCCUGGCUAGAAGCUUGCCUUUGACUAGAUCAGUGGUGGUGAACCUGUGGCAUGUGUGCCACAGUGGGUUGUUUGUAUCAGUGAAAGACAUAACAUCCAAGAUAAAAUGUAAAUGAAUCAGCUUGCUCUUCCAUUCCUACAAUUCUGUCCAUGGUUUCAAAAAUUAUGUCUUGAACGUGUACUCUCACUGGGAGAAAGUCUCGCCUAAAAGUCUCUGCCCAAGCCAGGCCUGCCUCUGAGCCCUUACCCAGGAUGUCUUCCUGCCCAUCCCAGUGGCUUGCAUCUUUUCUGGACUCAGCCCACUUCUUCAAGAGAAGCCUCCUGAGUCAUCCCAGGCCACCUCACAUUUUAUCGGUGGUAGCAUUUGGUCACAGCAAUCUUGGUCACCAAGCUCAAUGUAGAAUGAGAUCCAUUUAAUGUUGGUGUGAUUUUAAAUUGUAGCAACAACCAUGGGCCAUCUCAGGCAGGAGCAUUAACUAGGGUGGGAGAUACUUGGGUCAAGGUUGCAG